AUGUCAAACAUUACAGGUGAUAUUGAAGAAGGUAGCUUCUCCUCAGGGAACACAGCCGGGGAAGAAGUUCAUCAAGAAAAGCAGCUGCAAAACCACUUGCAUGGCACCAACUCUGGUGGAGGUUCCGGAGGGGGUAAGAGUAACAGCAAUGGCUCUGUCACUACCCAACAGCAACAGCAACAGCCAAUCAAGAAGAAGAGAAACCUUCCCGGAACACCAGAUCCGAGUGCAGAAGUUAUUGCUCUAUCACCAACGACUCUAAUGGCAACGAACCGAUUUGUGUGUGAGAUCUGCAACAAAGGGUUUCAGAGGGACCAGAACCUUCAGCUCCACAGGCGAGGCCAUAACCUUCCAUGGAAGCUGAGGCAAAGAACCAGCACUGAGGUUAGGAAAAGGGUUUACAUAUGUCCUGAGCCAACCUGCGUCCACCACAACCCGGCUCGUGCUUUAGGAGAUCUUACUGGCAUUAAAAAGCACUUUAGCCGAAAACACGGUGAGAAAAAAUGGAAAUGUGACAAGUGCUCCAAGAAAUAUGCAGUGCAGUCAGAUUGGAAGGCUCAUCAGAAGACUUGCGGCACUAGGGAAUACAAAUGUGACUGUGGAACCAUCUUUUCCAGGAGAGAUAGCUUCAUCACCCACAGAGCCUUCUGUGACGCAUUGGCAGAAGAAAACAACAAAGUGAACCACGGACUCAUAAUGAACAACAACAUGGGGACCCAUAACCAAAUGCCUGAUCACCUCAUCUCCUCCAUGCCCAUGAACACCAACACCUCAAUGGGAAUCGGAGCCGGAGCAAUUUCCGAAUACAACAACUACGACCCGAAAAACCCUCUGAAAUCCCUCCCGGAUGAGCUUGUCCCUAUGCCCUUCAAGUCCAUCAUGAACACCAAUCUCCCAGCCGGAGGAGGAAUGUUUUCCACCAGCUCCGGCUCGCUUUUCGGCGGUUCUAGAAGCGUCAACAACAACUCCUCCACCUCCUCCAGCCUCCAGCUCAGCUCCAACAACAGCUCCUCCGCCGGGUUCAACUACCUUCAAGACAGCAAAAACGGCUGCGGUGGAAGCCCUAAUGUAACCGGUUCGGCUCAAAUGUCAGCCACUGCUUUGCUCCAGAAGGCAGCUCAAAUGGGCGCCACCGCCAGCAACACUACUAUAAACUCCCCCAUGAUGCAGAAGAGCUUCGUCUCCAGCAUGGCCGGCCCGGAGAACCACCAUCAUCUCUCCAACAACUCAAUCAACGUCACGCGACCGCCGUACGAUCAUCACCCUCAGUUCCAGCAAGUCCAACAACAACAGCUGCCGGAUCACCACCAGAUGGCGGGGAUGCACGGCUUCACCAACCAGCUCUUCGGCGAGGCCAACUCCACGUCAGCUGCCAGCUCGGCGGCGAUGAGUGAUCACAUGGCGGGGAUGUUCAGUCAGGUGGUGUUUAACAUGGGGAGCGGAGGCAGUCAUGAGCAGAACCAAGCAUUGCUGAGGAACUUAGAGCAGCAGAGGUUUGGAGGGAGCGGAGGCGAAGGAGCAGGCGAUAUGACGACGCUUGAUCUAUUGGGGCUCGGGGGAGGAGGAGGGGCGAGGCCUCAGCCGCAGAACUUGCAUGAGCAACAUCAGCAGAGGUUGGACUUGGAAGCGAUGAGCCAGCAGCAGCCGAGAAUGCCGAUGAUGAACCCUUUCCAGCAGCGCUCGCAUGGCGACUCGCCGGUGGAAAGCAACCCGUUUGGGAUGUGAGAUGA